CCCGGCGGCACUAGCGCGGUGGUCCCACCUGACCCCAUGCCGAACUCAGAAGUGAAACGCCGUAGCGCCGAUGGUAGUGGGGUCUCCCCAUGUGAGAGUAGGGAACUGCCAGGC
rnacentral:rRNA from 1 species